UGUAUAAAGUAAACGUUUACGGAAGGACGGACGCAAAACGAAAAGCGAUCGCAAAAGCUAACUCACUAUGUGACAUUGUGAGCUAGAAAUUGUGAAACAUAUCAAGGAAGUUGAAUUUCGUUACUUAACAAUUCUGUACUUUCGUUAUUUAAGUUAUGCAGUAUAUGAAGCUAGUGAUAAAAAAAAUCAUUGUUCAGUUUUAUAAAUUAACUUUAGUAUCAUUCUGAUGAAAAUUAAGGUGAUAAAAACUGUCAUGAAAAAUCCAUUGCUGGGGCUAUACUAGGGACGUAAUCACAAAUCCUGUAGCACAUGAAUCACAAAACGUCAAUUUAUUACUCACCCUUCGCAGCUCGCUGAAUACACUUACGCACUUGCGUUUCUUUAGACGUUAGCGAUAGUGAAAUAUUCGACCGAUGCGCAGGAGAUAAAUGUAAUGAAUCAAAAGAAGCGCAAUAAUUAUAAUAAAAACAUUCAAAAUGAAGCAGAUUUGUUUUCAUUUUGUUGACAUCAAUAAAAACAAUUAUUUCAGUUUGAUGAGGCGUCAACAAUGAUAUUUUUUACCAUCUCUGUCACAAUGCCGAAUAGAGACACAUUGGUUUCCAGCGGAAUUAAACAGUUAUAAUAAUAUCUUUUUAAAGAGAUAACAACGCGCAUCAAACAGAUGGCAAAAGUCAUAUACAUUUGAAGCUGCUUUGCUAUACUUUUCUGGCAAAUAUACUCGCAGAAAAUGAUUUCAUACAGAGAAAAAUCUUCUGUAUUAAAAUAUAAUAGGGCAGAGAUAUGUUUAUUUAAAAUCUUUAAUAUAUGAAUUUGCUUUAUCUCCUGCAGAGUAUCUGCAAGUCAAAAAAUGGAUACCUUGUUGAAAUCACCUCUGGAUCUGAGGGCAAUUUUGUUAACUACAUGAUGGAUGUUUACGAUUAUGUUUGGAUGGGAUUAAACGACAUAGAAACAGAAGGUUUAUUGUUGUGGGAUUAUUCAGGAGCAACAUUCGACCAUUCUUUGGUAGGCCUAUAUGUUCCGUCAAAUCAAGAUUUAUUAGAUUGUGUCGCUUACGGUGAAUAUUAUGGAGAUUGGGACACAUAUGCUUGUGAAAGAGAAUUUUCAUACGUGUGCGAAAUUUCACUCUAAAUAUGAAGGAAAUUGCCAGGAAAAAACUUGAAAAAACAUGUACUUGCUACGAUCGUUAUGUUGUUAUUUUAUUCGGUUUAAAGUUGAAAUAAAUUCAAACCAAGCGAAUUCAUC